CCGUGUGACUAAUGUUUGUCAAAUCUACAUCGGGCGAGGUGCGCCUGCAUAGUUACGCUUUGUUUCGCAGCGCUUGAACGUUCAUUGAUGUGAUUCUCUUGUGCGUUCAGCGCGGCUGCUGGUAAUACGGUCGUUCGCACUUCAGUUAAAUGUGGUCGACCACUUUUGCGUCGCGUAGAAAAAGGACUGGCUUAGCCACCUUUCGAAGGAACCGGCGCGGUAUUGGUUCUCCCUGAUGCGGUCGCGUGCUGCUGUUGCUGCUUGCCGGACGCCUUCAGCAUUUUUUCGGCUCGCUUUCUCUGUGCGUGUGCGCGUGCUCGCGCUCGGCUUGAUUUGUGUGUGCGCUCAGCUCAGCUCGCUUUGUGUGUGUGUGUGUGUGUGUGUGUGUGUGCGUGCGUGCGUGCGCUCGGCUCGCUGUGUGUGUGUGCGUGUGUGCGUGCGUUCAGUACAUGCCGGUUUGUAUGGGCCGGCGUGUUUGCGCGUGUCUAGUGCGUACGUGUAUUGUGAGUGUGUUGUCUGUGGGUCGCUGUGUGUGCGUGCACGUGUUAGCGUGUCUGCCUGCAUGCAUGUAUGUGUGCUUGUUUGUGUUCAUCAAUGUGCGCGUGCGCGCUUUUGUGUCUGCGCUUUGAGAGUGCGUAUACUUGUGUGUGCGUGUGGGUGCGUUUUGUGUGCGUGCGUAUGUAUUGCAUGAGGCCGGUAGAAUUUUACUCGCAAUAAAACUCUUCCGAUUUGGUGCAGCGAGUGUUCCCUCCUGAAAGCCGAGUUUGGUUUCAAGCCACCCUGGACAACUGCUGUAUGAGGCGCCGUUUCUCGGGAGGACCAGUGGGAAGGCGCCAGGUCAUGCAGAUGGUAGCAGCAAUUUCACAAUGCCCAGCCUUGGCGCCCCCCAUCAAUAGCAAGCCAUUUGCGUUCGCCUUCACACAGAUGGUUAAUGUCUUCUUGAAAGCGGUUGAGAAGACAACAUUGAUGCAAGAUUCCAGCAAUGCCGUGCGCUGCAUUUAUUGGUCAAGAUGCUCAGAGAAUGGAGUCCCUGCACCUCGUGGUUAACCGUGAACAUUUCUUUUUCUUUUGGAAAGCUAAAGGCCAUUUGCUGCAUCACUUGCAUUUUUGCAGCUCAGAUGUGUACUAUAUUUUUCUAAUUUUGAAUCAAUACUGGCUGUUCAG